UGAGGAAUUUUGCGCAAUGGGAGCAACCCUGACGCAGCAAUACCGCGUGAGUGAAGAAGGUUUUCGGAUCGUAAAACUCUUUUAUUGGGGAAGAAGAAGUGACGGUACCCAAUGAAGAAGUCCCGGCUAACUACGUGCCAGCAGCCGCGGUAAUACGUAGGGGACAAGCGUUGUCCGGAAUCACUGGGCGUAAAGGGCGCGUAGGCGGUUUUAUAAGUCAGAUGUGAAAGGUACCGGCUCAACCGGUGACGUGCAUUUGAAACUGUAAGACUUGAGUACUGGAGAGGCAAGUGGAAUUCCUAGUGUAGCGGUGAAAUGCGUAGAUAUUAGGAGGAACACCGGUGGCGAAGGCGGCUUGCUGGACAUAUACUGACGCUGAGGUGCGAAAGCGUGGGGAGCGAACA
rnacentral:rRNA from 1 species